rnacentral:rRNA from 1 species
CGGCGGACGGGUGAGUAACACGUGGGCAACCUGCCCUACAGAUGGGGAUAACUCCGGGAAACCGGGGCUAAUACCGAAUAAUCAGUUUAUCCGCAUGGGUGAACUCUGGAAGACGGUUUCGGCUGUCACUGUAGGAUGGGCCCGCGGCGCAUUAGCUAGUUGGUGGGGUAAUGGCCUACCAAGGCAACGAUGCGUAGCCGACCUGAGAGGGUGAUCGGCCACACUGGGACUGAGACACGGCCCAGACUCCUACGGGAGGCAGCAGUAGGGAAUCUUCCACAAUGGACGAAAGUCUGAUGGAGCAAUGCCGCGUGAGCGAAGAAGGUUUUCGGAUCGUAAAGCUCUGUUGUAAGGGAAGAACAAGUACGGGAGUAACUGCCCGUGCCAUGACGGUACCUUAUUAGAAAGCCACGGCUAACUACGUGCCAGCAGCCGCGGUAAUACGUAGGUGGCAAGCGUUGUCCGGAAUUAUUGGGCGUAAAGCGCGCGCAGGCGGUUCUUUAAGUCUGAUGUGAAAGCCCACGGCUCAACCGUGGA